UACAGAGGGUGCAAGCGUUGUUCGGAAUUAUUGGGCGUAAAGCGCGUGUAGGCGGCUUCGCAAGUCGGGUGUGAAAGCCCUCAGCUUAACUGGGGAAGUGCCUCCGAUACUGGCGGCCUCGAGGGGGAUAGGGGCAUGCGGAACUUCCGGUGGAGCGGUGAAAUGCGUAGAUAUCGGAAGGAACACCGGUGGCGAAAGCGGCGUGCUGGAUCCCUUCUGACGCUGAGGCGCGAAAGCCAGGGGAGCGAACGGG
rnacentral:rRNA from 1 species